UUUUUUUUUUUUUUUUGAGUCUCUUUUUUCUACUACUAGUUAACAUUUCUUUAGAGGUGCUAGGUAGAGUAAACAAGAAAAAACUUAGAGGUAAAAAAAAAUUCUGAAAAGUAAUAUCAUUAAAUGCUUGAUUCCAUGGGGGAGUAUGCAGAGGGGAAAAAAUGUUUUUAAUUUUUUUUUAAUCAAUCUCUGAAACUGAAAUUGAGUUAAACAGCCUCACUAAUCAUUAAUUCAUGAGGGGGUCUGUCUUCUUUCAAUCUCCACCCUGUUUCCCUUCUUCCUCUAUAGAGUCAUUCAAAAUAUCUUUAUAUUGAAUAUGUUCUUACAAAGUCAUAUAUUUUACUUGCAUGUAUUUUUUAGCUAUACAAAUAAUAUAUCUUCUCUUUUUUGUUUUUCACUAACCACCAUGUUUUUACAAUCCUUCUGUCACUAUGUAAACAUAUGUCAGGACAUCUACCACUCUUUGCCUAUCUAGUCUUCCAGGGGUUGGACCCUUGGGUUACCUGCGAUACCCAACCACCAUAAGAAAUUAAGUGAAUAUCCUUAUAUAUAUAUGUAUUCCUUUAUGGACCCGUUUGAGAAUUUUGAAGGCCAUUGAUAUCUGGGUCAGGAUAUGAGUUUACUUGUCUAAGUAGUGUCAAGUCAUGUUUAGAUUAGUUGUACAAGUCCACAAUUCUACUAGCAUUGCAUAUGAGUGUUCCUAUAACCCUAAAUCUGCAAAGAACACAGCACUAUCUAGCUUUUUCAUAUUUAUGAGUGUAAAGUGUCUAAAGAAUUACAUCUGUGUAGUAUAUUGUGUAGUAUAUUAUUUGCUUUUCCAUGAUUGCCAGUGAUUUUGAGUAUUCUUUAAUGCUUCUCAGCUUUUUGAGUUUAUUUAUAAAUUUCGUCUUUGUACCUUGUGUUCAUAUUUCAAUUCAGAUUGCUGCCUUUUUGCUGCUGAUUUGCAAGUGUUUCUUAAAUAUUCUAGGUAUUAAUUUCCUGACAGAUUCUGCAAAUAAUCCUAUUCUAUAUGUAUUCUUUUUCUGUUACUUAUUAAACAGAAAGCCUUUAUCUUAAUGCCACAGUUGCAUAUUUUCCCCCUGUGGUUUAUAGUACAAAAUUGCUGUUUGUUUUUCUGCUCUAUGAUCACAAAGAAAUUCUCCAGUUUUGUCUAUUAACUUUGUAGUUUUAUCUUACACAUUUAGGUCUUUAGCCCAUUCCAGUUUUGUAUUUUCAAAAAAAACCCAUAUUCUCCCAGGGUGCCUGGGUGGAUCAGUCAGUUAAACAUCUCCCUUUGGCUCAGAUUGUGAUCCCAGGAUUGAGCCCUGUAUAGGGCUCCCUGCUCAGCGGGGAGCCUGCUUCUCCCUUUCCUUCUGCCUGCUAUUCUACUGGCUUGUGUACUCUCUUUCUCUCAAAUAAAUAAAAUCUUUAAAAAACAUAUUCUUCCAGUAUUGCCUCUGUUAGCCCUUCUCUGUGAGGUUAUAUUUUUUCUCUAACCCAUGGAUGAAAUGUUUGGCAAGUGCUUUUACAGUCUUUACUAGUAAAAAAAACCUAGUGGACCAGAUGGAUCACCCUCAAUUUGACAAAUAAAAUGCCUAAUGCAUUGUAUUGAUUUAGGACUGUAAACUAUUUAAAAUGAAAACUUCUCUCUUCCUACAACUCAGUCUUACUUAUUUUUUUUUAAUUGAGUUUCCUUUGUAUUUAUUGCAACUGUUAAUUAACAAUUUAAUUAACAUUCACAACUUCUUAGCACCUCACUCUUAAAGAUAGAAGCCUAUAGGGUGCCUGGGUGGCACAGUGGGUUAAACAUCCGACUCUUGGGUUCUGCUCAGGUUGUGAACUCAGGAUUGUGAAAUUGAGCCCUGCAUUGGGCACCGAGCUCAGUGAGGAGUCUGCCUGAGUUUCUUUCUCUUUCUCCCUUGCUCCUCCCCCACAUGAUUGCUUUCUCUAAAAUAAAUAAAUCUAAAAAAAAAAAAAAA
rnacentral:lncRNA from 1 species